rnacentral:misc_RNA from 1 species
GUCAGUGGGGUUGAGUUGACUCCGCCUUUGAAUAAUAAUAAAAAAUAUUUAAAAAACUUUUUUGUAAUAAAAAAUGAGAUAAGAAUAUCACAUGAGCUACACUGUCCACUCCAAGCAGAGAGAAGAGGAAACGAAAUUAGAUUGUGUUAAAGAUUUGCAGCUUUCAGUUAAAUAGGUGUCGUGUCCUGCGAUUAAACCAAUUGGCAAGCAAGAACCAUGUGCAACUGUCUUUUUUUGGACCAAAAUACCCUCGCACUCAUUCUCCUUUAUUCCCUGACAAGCCCACGCCUUCCUCUUUACUUGCUUGUAGUGUGAGUGCCAGUGUGCCACUUCCAAGAGCUACCUCACAAGGAACUACAAAUCUUUAACUUCUGACAUCUCUCUCCCUCUUUCUUUCUUGCUUCAAGUGGAAGCUCGCAUAGAGAGAGAGAGAGCUAAAAUAGGAAAGGGAAAAUGGGUGUAGGCGCCAGCAACUUUGUCAUCAGAUGGAUCAACUUUCUCACCAUGCUUUUAGCUAUAGCUGUCAUAAUUUUUGGAGUAUGGAUGAGCACACAUCAUGACAGCUGCCGAAGGUUUCUCACUCUCCCUGUGCUAGGCCUUGGGGCUUUCAUAUUUGUAAUAUCAAUAAUUGGCUUCUUGGGUGCGCUGAAGAACAACUCCAUAUUGUUGUGGAUUUAUCUGAUUUUGCUGUGCGUCAUUUUGGUGGCUAUUCUGGUUUUCACAGUAUUGGCGUUUAUUGUAACAAAUAAUGGAUCUGGUCAUAGUGUCCCUGGUUUGAGGUAUAAGGAGUAUGAACUUCAGGAUUUCAGCUCAUGGUUUCUUAAACAGCUGAACGAUACCCAAAAUUGGAAGCAAUUGAAGAGUUGUCUUGUGAAAUCUGAUGACUGCAAUAAUCUAUCCAAGAAAUAUAAGGUUCAUCACUUGGCUUCAAAUGAUGACAAUUCUUUGAUUUCCAAAUUCUCAAAUCUCAACAUAAAUCUAGCUGUUUUCACUCGUUGAUUGCAGACUCUUAAGCAGUAUAAGUCAGCAAAGCUGACCCCUAUUGAAGCUGGUUGCUGCCGACCACCAUCCAAGUAAGUAGCUUUAAGUACCUUUUUUUUCCCUCGACAAAUAUUCAAAUGAGUUUAUUAACUCAUUAUGUAAAAAUUGAUGAGAUAACAUGUUCUCUUACUCCUUUGUUUGAUGUUAUUAAACUGUAUUAAGUUUUCAUGUUUUGAAGUUAUGAUCACAUGCCUAUAAAUAUUUGAAUUUAUAUCUUAUAGUGAAAACAUUACUGAUAAACUUGAGAAUUAUGGUGUUACUUUGUCUGCAACUUGCUUCAUAGAUGUGGUUAUCCUGCUGUCAAUGCUUCAUAUUAUGAUUUGAGCUUCCACCCAAUCAGCUCUGACAAGGACUGUAAACUUUACAAAAAUUCUCGGGCUACCAAGUGCUAUAAUUGUGAUUCCUGCA